rnacentral:rRNA from 1 species
CCUACGAGAGGCAGCAGUGGGGAAUAUUGGGCAAUGGGCGCAAGCCUGACCCAGCAACGCCGCGUGAAGGAAGAAGGCUUUCGGGUUGUAAACUUCUUUUAAGAGGGAAGAGCAGAAGACGGUACCUCUUGAAUAAGCCACGGCUAACUACGGGCCAGCAGCCGCGGUAAUACGUAGGUGGCAAGCGUUGUCCGGAUUUACUGGGUGGAAAGGGCGUGCAGCCGGGAAGACAAGUCAGAUGUGAAAUCCCGCGGCUCAACCGCGGAACUGCAUUUGAAACUGUUUUUCUUGAGUACCGGAGAGGUCAUCGGAAUUCCUUGUGUAGCGGUGAAAUGCGUAGAUAUAAGGAAGAACACCAGUGGCGAAGGCGGAUGACUGGACGGCAACUGACGGUGAGGCGCGAAAGCGUGGGGAGCAAACAGGAUUAGAUACCCCAGUAGUC